rnacentral:rRNA from 1 species
GACGAACGCUGGCGGCGUGCUUAACACAUGCAAGUCGAACGGAGUGGCGAACGGGUGAGUAACACGUGGGUGAUCUGCCUUGCACUUCGGGAUAAGCUUGGGAAACUGGGUCUAAUACCGGCUAUUGCAAGAUGAGCUCGCGGCCUAUCAGCUUGUUGGUGGGGGAAUUGCCUACCAAGGGGUCGACGUGUAGCCGGCCUGAGCGGGGGUACGGCCACAUUGGGGCUGGGCUACGGCCCAGACUCCUACUGGAGGCAGCAGUGGGGAAUAUUGCCCAAUGGGCGGAAGCCUGAUGCAGCGCCGCCGCGUUGGGGAUGAAGGCCUUCGGGUUGUAAACUCCUUUCGACAGGGACGCGGUACCUGUAUAAGAAGCACCGGCUAACUACGUGCCAGCCGCCGCGGUAAUAC